rnacentral:misc_RNA from 1 species
AAAAACAAAAGUAAACCAACCAGUAUUCGAGCAUAUGAACUAAAUGGGAAGUGAAAAUAGUCUCUGUAAUUAGGAUAACUUGCUAAGCAGUAAACAUGUAUAAAUUUCCAACUUAACAGGACGAAAUACCCACCAAAUCAGUGAUGGAUAUGAAAAGGAUUUACAUCACCUGAAACAUGACAAUCUCUGCGGCUUGGGUUUCUUUUGUUUUUUCUUUUUAUUCUCU